rnacentral:rRNA from 1 species
GAUGAACGCUGGCGGCGUGCCUAAUACAUGCAAGUCGAGCGAACAGACGAGGAGCUUGCUCCCCUGACGUUAGCGGCGGACGGGUGAGUAACACGUGGAUAACCUACCUCUAUGACUGGGGUACAUUCGGGAGACCGGAGCUAAUACCGCAUAAUCUAUUGAACCGCAGGGUUCAGUAGUGAAAGACGGUUUUGCUGACUCUUAUAGAUUGAUCCGCGCCGCAUUAGCUAGUUGGUAAGGUAACGGCUUACGAAGGCAACGAUGCGUAGCCGACCUGAGAGGGUGAUCGGCCACACUGGAACUGAGACACGGUCCAGACUCCUACGGGAGGAAGCAGUAGGGAAUCUUCCGCAAUGGGCGAAAGCCUGACGGAGAAAGGCGGCGUGGGGGAUGAAGGCCUUCGGAUCGUAAACCUCUGUUAUUGGGGAAGAACAACUGUGUACGUAACUUUGCACGUCUUGACGGUACCUAAACAGAAAGCCACGGCUAACUACGUG